rnacentral:rRNA from 1 species
UACGAAGGGUGCAAGCGUUACUCGGAAUUACUGGGCGUAAAGCGUGCGUAGGUGGUUCGUUAAGUCUGUCGUGAAAGCCCCGGGCUCAACCUGGGAAUGGCGAUGGAUACUGGCGAGCUAGAGUGCGGUAGAGGAUCGCGGAAUUCCCGGUGUAGAGGUGAAAUUCGUAGAUAUCGGGAGGAACACCAGUGGCGAAGGCGGCGAUCUGGGAAGAUACUGACGCUGAGGUGCGAAAGCGUGGGGAGCAAACAGG